GACGAACGCUGGCGGCGUGCCUAAUACAUGCAAGUCGAACGCUUCUUUCCUCCCGAGUGCUUGCACUCAAUUGGAAAGAGGAGUGGCGGACGGGUGAGUAACACGUGGGUAACCUACCCAUCAGAGGGGGAUAACACUUGGAAACAGGUGCUAAUACCGCAUAACAGUUUAUGCCGCAUGGCAUAAGAGUGGAAGGCGCUUUCGGGUGUCGCUGAUGGAUGGACCCGCGGUGCAUUAGCUAGUUGGUGAGGUAACGGCUCACCAAGGCCACGAUGCAUAGCCGACCUGAGAGGGUGAUCGGCCACACUGGGACUGAGACACGGCCCAGACUCCUACGGGAGGCAGCAGUAGGGAAUCUUCGGCAAUGGACGAAAGUCUGACCGAGCAACGCCGCGUGAGUGAAGAAGGUUUUCGGAUCGUAAAACUCUGUUGUUAGAGAAGAACAAGGACGUUAGUAACUGAACGUCCCCUGACGGUAUCUAACCAGAAAGCCACGGCUAACUACGUG
rnacentral:rRNA from 1 species